rnacentral:lncRNA from 1 species
AGGAACACCCACCAAGGAUGUGAUUUGUGGCAUCUUCCUGUGUUAAUUUGAGGAAGUUGGAUAAAGCACCAAAUGCAGCAGAGCACUCCAGCCUGGAGUCAAGGACUACUCCAGCAGUCAGGAAGUCCUGCAGCCCAUCUCCGCAGACCUCCCACCUCCUCAGCCUCCUGGUCACCCGGACCACCAGGUCAUGCAGCUCUACAGAGCCACCAGCUGAAGCAAGCUGAGGCAAGUGCCAUCCUCUUGAAUCUUCAGAACUGAGCUAAAUCACCUUCUCCUUUUACAAGGUUAGCAAAAGUUAAUACUAUUCCUUGGUCUGUUUAAGCCAAUUUGAGCUGCAUUUUAUGUCACUUGUAACCAAUGGAUGCUCACUGAAUUAAAUACUAAGCUGCAUGAGGGUAGAUGCAUAAAAAUAUACACGGACUAAAUGACUGUGAAUAUCUUUGUGAAACAGUCCCCGACUGAAACUGAAGAGAUAGUAUGAGGAGCAGUUCACAGGGAAAAAACUAGACUGAGGUGAGGGCUUGAGAAACAGUCA